rnacentral:rRNA from 1 species
UGCAAGUCGACGAUGAAGCCUUUCGGGGUGGAUUAGUGGCGAACGGGUGAGUAACACGUGGGCAAUCUGCCCUUCACUCUGGGACAAGCCCUGGAAACGGGGUCUAAUACCGGAUAACACUCUGUCCCGCAUGGGACGGGGUUAAAAGCUCCGGCGGUGAAGGAUGAGCCCGCGGCCUAUCAGCUUGUUGGUGGGGUAAUGGCCUACCAAGGCGACGACGGGUAGCCGGCCUGAGAGGGCGACCGGCCACACUGGGACUGAGACACGGCCCAGACUCCUACGGGAGGCAGCAGUGGGGAAUAUUGCACAAUGGGCGAAAGCCUGAUGCAGCGACGCCGCGUGAGGGAUGACGGCCUUCGGGUUGUAAACCUCUUUCAGCAGGGAAGAAGCGAAAGUGACGGUACCUGCAGAAGAAGCGCCGGCUAACUACGUGCCAGCAGCCGCGGUAAUACGUAGGGCGCAAGCGUUGUCCGGAAUUAUUGGGCGUAAAGAGCUCGUAGGCGGCUUGUCACGUCGGAUGUGAAAGCCCGGGGCUUAACCCCGGGUCUGCAUUCGAUACGGGCUAGCUAGAGUGUGGUAGGGGAGAUCGGAAUUCCUGGUGUAGCGGUGAAAUGCGCAGAUAUCAGGAGGAACACCGGUGGCGAAGGCGGAUCUCUGGGCCAUUACUGACGCUGAGGAGCGAAAGCGUGGGGAGCGAACAGGAUU